rnacentral:rRNA from 1 species
UACAGAGGGGGCAAGCGUUGUUCGGAAUUACUGGGCGUAAAGGGCGCGUAGGCGGCCUUCUAAGUCGAACGUGAAAUCCCCGGGCUCAACCCGGGAACUGCGUCCGAGACUGGAAGGCUUGAAUCCGGGAGAGGGAUGUGGAAUUCCAGGUGUAGCGGUGAAAUGCGUAGAUAUCUGGAGGAACAUCGGUGGCGAAGGCGGCAUCCUGGACCGGUAUUGACGCUGAGGCGCGAAAGCGUGGGGAGCAAAACGG